rnacentral:rRNA from 1 species
AGUGAACGCUGGCGGUAGGCCUAACACAUGCAAGUCGAACGGCAGCACAGUAAGAGCUUGCUCUUACGGGUGGCGAGUGGCGGACGGGUGAGGAAUACAUCGGAAUCUACUUUUUCGUGGGGGAUAACGUAGGGAAACUUACGCUAAUACCGCAUACGACCUACGGGUGAAAGCAGGGGAUCUUCGGACCUUGCGCGAUUGAAUGAGCCGAUGUCGGAUUAGCUAGUUGGCGGGGUAAGGCCCACCAAGGCGACGAUCCGUAGCUGGUCUGAGAGGAUGAUCAGCCACACUGGAACUGAGACACGGUCCAGACUCCUACGGGAGGCAGCAGUGGGGAAUAUUGGACAAUGGGCGCAAGCCUGAUCCAGCCAUACCGCGUGGGUGAAGAAGGCCUUCGGGUUGUAAAGCCCUUUUGUUGGGAAAGAAAAGCAGCAGGUUAAUACCCCGCUGUUGUGACGGUACCCAAAGAAUAAGCACCGGCUAACUUCGUG